GACGAACGCUGGCGGCGUGCUUAACACAUGCAAGUCGAACGGAAAGGCCCUGCUUUUGUGGGCUGCUCGAGUGGCGAACGGGUGAGUAACACGUGAGUAACCUGCCCUUGACUUUGGGAUAACUUCUGGAAACUGGGGCUAAUACCGGAUAGGAGCUCCUGCUGCAUGUUGGGGGUUGGAAAAGUUCGGCGGUCGGGGAUGGACUCGCGGCUUAUCAGCUUGUUGGUGGGGUAGUGGCUUACCAAGGCGUCGACGGGUAGCCGGCCUGAGAGGGUGACCGGCCACAUUGGGACUGAGACACGGCCCAGACUCCUACGGGAGGCAGCAGUGGGGAAUAUUGCACAAUGGGCGGAAGCCUGAUGCAGCAACGCCGCGUGCGGGAUGACGGCCUUCGGGUUGUAAACCGCUUUCGGCUGGGACGAAGCGUGAGUGACGGUAAUGGGUGAAGAAGCGCCGGCUAACUACGUG
rnacentral:rRNA from 1 species